AAUAAGAUGCCUGAUAAAAGGAUUAUUUUGAUAGAAUAAAUCAUGUAGUGUUCUACUCUUAUUA
rnacentral:tRNA from 1 species